UUCUCACGUUCAUCUCUCCCUGUACCUCUCUCAGUUUCAAUUUGACAAUAAUCUCUUUCUCCCAUCUCUCAUUUCAUCUUUCUCAUUCACUCAAUAAACUCAAAACAAACAAAGCUCAAACAAAACAACCUAACAUUCAAUCGGUUCCAAAAUCAAAGAAACACAAGAUUAAAUGGCCAAUCAAAAUGUUAAACGGAAAGGAAACAAAAUUACAGCAACUUCAUAGUUUGAAUGGAUCAGAAUAGUUACCAACAACGAAGAACUUUUCGCUGGAAAAUCUGUCGAGCUGGGUCCUCGUGUCCGUGUACGGGCUUCAUAGGUGGUGAUUUGAAUCGGAGCUGAAUCGGAACACAAGGGUUGUUUGUGGUUGAUGUUGUUGGAGAGCCAUUUGCGGUGGAUGUGUUUUCGAUGGUUGCAUUUGAUACAGGUCGAAAAUUGUUGUGGAGUUGUUAUUACGGAUGAUGAAGGUCGACAGCGGAUGGGAGCGACCCGUGGUGGUUCGUCGCUCGCAGCUGAGGAUCCGAAAUAGAGGGAAUCGUGGGCGUCGGAAUGAAGCGUUACAACAGUUCUAAGCUUUUGGCUUCCAAGGUUUGAUUUCAUUCCUUCCUGUUUCUGCAAAAAAACUCAAAUGGUGUUGUUAGAAAUGAAUUUUAUAUGUUGAAAUUCUUAUGUUACGGAUGAAGGAUAAAGGGGUGGAUUUGGGUUUGAGUUUAUAAUUUUGAACGAUGUUAAUGGUAUAUUGCUGAAAGGUUUGAAUGGUGUAAAUGGUUUUGGAAAGAGUGUAAUUUGGGAUGGAAUUUGUGAAGACUUGAAAUUAGAGAGAUAAUACUGAUACGUGUUCUUUUUGGCCUCUGAGAACAUACUGUGAAUAGAAUUAGUUCAAACCAAUUAGAUUGUAAUAUUUCUAUUGUUGCAAAACAAUCUUAAAAAUAUGUACAAAAAAAAUAAGGCUUAUGCACAUGUAAGAAACUUUGUAAAAAUAAUUGCUUCUGUUAAAGAAUAUCUGAAGAAAAAAAUGUCAGUGGACAAUUGUUAUUAACAAUGGUGAAUCUAUGAACCUUGACUAAAACAACAUGGUUUAUUAGAAAAUGAAAAGCAUGUGCUUUUAGGAAAUUAGUAUACGUGAAAGUGUAUGAAUGGAAUUACAAAUAUGAAAUUUGUAGUUUGUAGAUGUAAAAUUAUUUACAAGGUUAAAAUUAUUAGUAUAAAAACAAACUGUCAUUUGUAGUUUGUAGAUGUAAAAUUAUUUACAAGGUUAAAAUUAUUAGUAUAAAAACAAACUGUCAGAUAAUCAUCAUUCGGUUUAAAAUUAACAUUGAAAUAAAUUGGUGAGCCUAAUAUUAAAAUCGUUGGCUAAAACAAUAAAGGUUUUGAAGAAAACAUAUGAAAAAAGUUUGCAAAAUUAUGAAUGGUUGUUAAUGAAAAAUGAGGGUGGGAAGUGCCCUUUUUAUAGACUGGAAUUAGUUCAAAACAAUCCUAAAUAACGAAAAGAUUCGACCCAGAGGCCCAUGGACCUUCCUUGGUCACCAAGAUUAAGAACCCGGACGUACUUGCGUCCAGGUGCAAAAAAGAUUAAAAAUAGUUUAUAAAAAUGACAGUGCACCAAGCGGGAUUCGUACCCGUGACCUUCUGUUUGCAAGUCUUACUUUCUUACCAAUUGAAAGUGUAUGAAGCAUCGGCCAACAUUUUGUUAUUUAUUAAAAUAUAAAUAAUUUAAGAGUAAACCAUUAUAUUUUAAAAUAGACUUUAAAUCGAAUAUUUAUAAAAUUCAGGAUAUCACUGUAAAUGAAACCAAGAUUUUUAUAAAACUCAAUUUUGAAAUUAAUUAUAAUAGCUUGAAAAGUGUGGGCAAAUUUUGGAAUAUAACGGAAGGCAUUGCAUAUGUCAACGAUGAUGGUUAAGGAAUUGGAAUUAAUUGAAUAGUUCAGAGAUUUGAGUUUAGUUUGCGAGAGGAGACCGCAGAGUGUUAUGUUGAGAAUGCAGAAGAUUAGUAGUGAUUUCCUAACUAAAAUCCAAGCAUCCCAGAAGUUGGAUGUGAAAUUGGUAGAUGUGAUGGUUGGAAGUAAUCAAUCAGAAGAUUACGACUUUAAGAUGGAUGAACAAGGGGUGUUGAGGUUUCGCGGUAGAAUUUGUAUUCCAGAUGAGGAUGAUGUGAAGAAGAUGAUUCUCGAAGAAGGUCAUCGAAGCAUUUUGAGUAUUCAUCCUGGGGCUACUAAGAUGUAUCAAGAUCUGAAGAAAUUAUUUUGGUGGUCUAGGUUGAAGCGCGAUGUAGCGCAGUUUGUGUAUGGGUGUUUGACUUGUCAAAAGUCGAAAGUUGAACAUCAGAGACCUGCAGGAUUGAUGCAACCGUUAGAUGUUCCAGAAUGGAAAUGGGAUAGUAUAUCGAUGGAAUUUGUGACGGGAUGCCUAGUACUCCUAGAGGUUAUGAUGCAUUUUGGGUGAUUGUUGAUCGGUUGACAAAAUCGGCUCAUUUUGUUCCGGUUAAUAUUAGUUUUUUUGUACCGAAGUUAGGGGAGAUUUAUAUUCGUGUGAUUGUGAAGCUUCAUGGUGUUCUGGCAAGUAUUGUGUCGGAUAGAGAUCUGAGAUUUACUUCUGAAUUUUGGAAAAGUUUGCAUGAUGCGUUGGGUUCUAAGCUGAGAUUGAGUUCGGCGUAUCAUCUGUAGAUGAUGGUCAAACAGAGAGGACUAUUCAAUUACUAGAGAACUUGUUGAGAGCUUCUGUUUCUGAGCAAGGAGGUUCGUGGGAUACUUACCUUCCACUGAUAGAGUUUACGUACAAUAAUAAUUUUCAUUCUAGUAUUGGAAUGACUCCUUUUGAAGCUUUGUACGGUCGAAGAUGUAGGACUCUGUUAUGUUGGUAUGAAUCAGGCAAGAGCAUAGUUCUUAGACCUAAGAAUGUUCGACUGAUUACCGAGAAAGUGAAUCUAAUUCGGGAAAAGAUGAAGUCUUCUUAGAGCAUGCAGAAGAGUUAUCAUGAUAAGCGAAGGAAAGAACUUGAUUUUCAAGCGGGAGACCGUGUAUUUUUUAGAGUCACUAUGGUGACAUGUGUGGGUCGUGCCUUGAAGUCGAGGAAGUUGACGCCUCAGUUUAUCGGUCCAUAUCAUAUUUUUGAGAAAGUGGGAGCUAUUACGUAUAGGGUGGAGUUGCCGCCUAAUAUUUCAAAUUUGCAUGAUGUGUUUCAUGUUUUGCAACUCCGGAAGUAUAUUUCAGACUCAUCACAUGUGAUUCCGAUGGACGAUGUGCAAGUAAGAGAUAACCUUAUAGUAGAGAUGGUACCUGUACGAAUCGAGGAUCGUGAGGUAAAGAAGCUAAGAGGCAAAGAGAUUGCUUUAGUAAAGGUCAUUGAGGAGGAGCUGCUGGACAGAAUGCGACGUGGGAACUAGAAAAUAGGAUGCGAGAGUCGUAUCCAGAGAUGUUCGCAUCAGGUAAGUUUUCAAGGGCGAAAAUACUCUAAGUGAGGGAGAGUUGUAACACCCGUUUAUUUUAUUUGAUUAUUUAAUUUGAUGUUUGUGAAUUAUUUUAUGAAAAGGUGGUUUAUUUGUGAAUUAUUGAUAUUUAUGCUAUAUUAUAUAGUUGAAUAAUAAUAUUAAUAAUAGUAAUAAUAAUAGAAUAAUUGAUUAAUUAGUAAUUGGGCCUAUUAUGGUGUUAGCAUUAGAAUUAGUGGAGGUGUGGGGUUAAGCCCAUUAGUAAAGUGAAAAUUAAUGAGGGCUUGAUCGGAAAAAUAGCAAGUGUACUAUUUUUAACGAUGUAGUAAUAAAAAUGGGUCAGUCCCAAGUAUCGAUCUCAAGGAUUGCGUAGGAAAUAUAAGUUUUUAUAAUGAUUCAAUUAAACAAAAGAACAUGGGUGUUUAGUUUGGUUUGAUAAAAUAAUGACUAAAAUCGUAAUUAAAAGACACAGAUAAAUAAACGACUAACAUAGAUGAUCAGAUUGCUAGGGCUUGGUGAAUGAUUCUUCAUGCAACAAAUUUGCCUUCUCAAUGCAACAACAUUAAUUUUUUUUAUCAAUUGAUUACCGGUUCUCGGGAGUAUCUAAUUCUAAGUCCUUAGAUAAAAGAUUUUUGACAUCACAGCCUAAUUACUAUGUCCAUAGCUAAUUACGGUAUGAUCAAAGCAUUCAAAUAACAAGAAUUCCGGUUACGAUAAGAUACCCCUAGUCCUAGGUGAUAUGAAUUAUCAGACGUUUAUACUCAAGUCAACAAAUAAUUUGUUGUCCAGCUUAAACUAUUGAUUCAUACUCAGAAUUCGUUUUUCUGACGGUUAAAGCAUUACGAACAGAUAAAGAAUAAAUCAACAACAAUGAAAACUAAAAUUAUUAUUGCAUCAAUUGAACAACUUCAUCACGAUCAGAAUCAGGGUCACCCCCUAGCAAUGGGGGAUUUAGCUACUCGUAACGGAAAAUAAAAUUAAGAUAGAAGCUGUAGUCAUUACAGAAAUUUCGGAGGAAUCAAUCUUCAAUUGUGAAGUAUUCUUGAAUCAUGAAAUCCUUAUGAAAUUCUGAGUUCUCCAGCCUUCAAAAUAUGUUUUUCUUUCCAAAAUUCAUCGAACCCUUGUCCAAAUGCGUUUUUUUCCUUUUAUUUCCGUCUCUCUGGGAUUUUCAGAGAAGAAAGCCUAAAAUAUUGCGUACAAACGCGUGCGGGGACACGUCUGGCACAGUGAGAUGCGUCCUGGGACGUGUUUGGGCAGUGGGCAUAUUGUCCUUUGCUUUUCCUCCACCUGGCACGCGUGUGGAGACUUAUCUGGGGCCUAAGGCACGCGUCCUAGGACGCGUGUGACUAGAGGAGCGUUAUUUUCACCCUCUUGCAGGAUGCAAGACAUGUCUGGGUAGAGGGACACAUUCUGGCUUUCAUGUGCAGUAACGGAUGCAUCUUGGAAGCAUUUAAGCAUAGUGUCAUACCCUAAUUUUUGACCCCCCCUGAGAUGACAUAUCUUCAGGAUUUUCAUCAAGUCAAAGUAAGUACUCAGGGCAGUCUGGCAUUCAAUCGAGGGUAUUCAAAGACAAGAAAACUCAGGCAAAGGAUCAAUCAAUAGAGGGAUUAGUCUCUAAUACAAUCAUAAGACUCAAAAGCUUCAUUAUUUCACCUAUGAUUGAUUAGACACCCAGUCAUCUAAGUACAGAAUUACUCAGAUCAACAGACUAGGGUUUGGAGCCUAUCAAGGACUAAAAUCAGGGAUCACCUUUGGGAAACCCUAAGAAGCCCCAGGGAACCAUUCAAAGACAUCAAUCAUCUUCAAAUAACUCAUAUGACAAGAUCCACUGGACAUUACACCUCAGUUCAAAGUCUACAGUCAUCAUUGUCCUCUGGUCGACAAUUAGGGUUUUUGACCUAAUUCACCAAGAUAGUUGACUUUUAAUCAGGGCAUGGAUCCAAAACUCAAGACAUGAUUCAAGAGUCUCUACUACCUCAAUAUAAUCCAUUUACAUCAAUCAUUUGAGGAGAAGAUCUUGUUUCUACACAAAAGCCCAAAAAUUCACUUUGUCAGGAAAAGUCAACUGUGUGAGAUCAUCAUUGACUUUUAAGGUUUUUGGUCAAAAAAUGACUUUCAAAGAUCAAUAUCAUCAAUAUAUGGAUGUCAAAGUCAUUUGACCAAAGAAAUUCAAAGAAGUUCAUCAAGGAGCAAAAAGUCGGGAAUUAGGGUUUUUGAAGGCAUGGUGAGAACUCAAAAUUUCACCUACACAACUCAAAAAACUUCCAACAUGAAAGUUGUAGAUCUUGCAAAAUAAAACAACAUCUUACAAAGGAACUUUUUUCAAAAGAUCAAUCAUUCAUGAAGUUUUGGGAAUUUUGAAGUUUAGGUCAUAAACACUUAGAAAUUUUUCUAAGUGUUUUAACCUAGUUUUCAUCCAACUUUGGGCUCAUUUUUCACAAAUUUCCCAAAUGAUUCUGAAGAAGACAUAAACUAAUGAUUUGAAGUAGAUGUUUAGGGCUUUCCAAAUUGUGUUCAACCUUCUCCAAAUUCAAUUUGAGCUAGGAGUUAUGCUUGUUCAAAGUUGGCCUCAUGAAGUAAAAUUAUAGGUCAUGUGCAAAUUGGAACUUUGCAAUUUUGUGCAUUUUGCUUCACUAAUGGAUGCUACACGACCCAUAACAUGUCUGAAACAAUACCAUGCAUUCAUUUUCACCAUGCCAUGAUAAUUGAAGAAGAUUCCUAAAACAAGAACAUGUGAUUAUGUAAUGAUUACUUUUGAGAAUUUAUGGCAAAUUGAUGAAUCGCCCAAGGAAUCUUCUCACCAACCAAUUAGAGCUCACUUUACAUCUGAAUUGUCCCCUAAGAUCAGAUAGAAUCAAUGGAUAGGGGAGGUGGCUCGAAAAUGCAAUGAUCACACUUGGAUAUUCUUUGAAAUUUCUUCAUGGCUAAGAAACCAAACUUGCUUCACUAAGCAAGCUCACACUCUCACUCAGUACUGAACCAAUUGCCUAUAAAUAGAGGCCUCAUUCUCAUUCAAAAAAGACACCAAAGCAACCAUAUUCCUUGCUUUCUCUUUCUCUUCUCAUGUUCAUUGUUUUUCAAAGUUCUUUGGCAAGAAGAAUCGAUUUCUUCAAACCAGAGCUCAUCUUUGGGAAGUGAACAUUCUAACAUCUCAAGGGAGGUCAUUUGAGGUGAUCCAAGCACCUGGAUCACUUCUGUAAGUGGAGGAACACCAUUGUUGCUCUCACUUUGGAGCAUCUGCAGUUGGAGGUCCAUGGAGUAAUUCAGGAGGUUCUGAGCCAAGCCAAUCAUCCAGGCACAAUCCUCAGGUCAUAGUGAAGCUAACCAGAUGGGUGCAGCUCAUCUGUAACUCCAAAUUCAACAACCUCCAUGUUCACUUGAAGCUGAAAUCGAGGGAGGUCCAUAGAACAAUUCAGAAGGAUUCAAGCUCCAAUAAACAUUCAGUUAGCAUCAUUGAGUCUCAGGGAAGCUAUUGAGAUCAUUCAUUCAAGCCCAGGUGCUCUCUAUCAUCCUCACGACCUCCAUUUUCAGAGGUAAGUUUCUGAACUCCACCUCUUUAAUUUAAGCACUCUUUAUGGUAAAGCUCGAUUCUAUCUUGUUUAGCAUCAUCAGAGGAUUGAAAACCCUCUAUCAUCUUGCAUUUAUUCAUCUUGUUUGCCAUUUAAUUUCAAAUUUAGGGUUUAUAUGUUCUUAGAGUUUUCUGAGAAAUUAGGUAGAUAUAGUUCAUAUAAAUAAAUGUUAGUUACAUAUCUGGAUUCGUGAGGAAAUUUAGAACAAGAUUGAUGUUUACAUCAUGUCAUUUAGUUGAGAAACCAGAGAGUUAGGAUUUUGAAAAUCUUUGAGCUCGAGGAAGAAGAUGACUAUGGCCAUGGCGCGCAAAAUUUGAAUCUGGGGCCAAAGUUUAUUUUAUUUUGAAUGGUAUGCGUUCCUUAAACGACUGAACAAACUUGCCCUAGUGGCCUCCCAUACGCCCUUAGUCUCAUCAUGCCUCAAGUCUGGGGUUCGAAUCCCCCUCGCCCCAGACUUUUUGAUUCUUUUAUUUUUCAAUGAUUUACUAGUUGUUUUGAAACAUAACCAAAUGAAUGCAAGUUGCUAUCACCACACGCGCGUUGGCUCAGUGGUGUUUGUUUUGAGUGUGUGACAUAGAGGGCGUGGGUUCAAACCCUCCAAGGGCCAAAACUAUUUUUUUAACACACAAUUUCUUUCAUUUUCUCACAAACUUCACAUAUUUAUUUAACCUAUCAAAUUAAUUUAUUUUCACUUCAUUUUUCACACACUUAU